UUAAGUUAUUAAGGGCGCACGGUGGAUGCCUUGGCACUAGAAGCCGAUGAAGGACGUUACUAACGACGAUAUGCUUUGGGGAGCUGUAAGUAAGCUUUGAUCCAGAGAUUUCCGAAUGGGGAAACCCAGCAUGAGUUAUGUCAUGUUAUCGAUAUGUGAAUACAUAGCAUAUCAGAAGGCACACCCGGAGAACUGAAACAUCUUAGUACCCGGAGGAAGAGAAAGAAAAUUCGAUUCCCUUAGUAGCGGCGAGCGAAACGGGAAGAGCCCAAACCAACAAGCUUGCUUGUUGGGGUUGUAGGACACUCUAUACGGAGUUACAAAGGACGACAUUAGACGAAUCAUCUGGAAAGAUGAAUCAAAGAAGGUAAUAAUCCUGUAGUCGAAAAUGUUGUCUCUCUUGAGUGGAUCCUGAGUACGACGGAGCACGUGAAAUUCCGUCGGAAUCUGGGAGGACCAUCUCCUAAGGCUAAAUACUCUCUAGUGACCGAUAGUGAACCAGUACCGUGAGGGAAAGGUGAAAAGCACCCCGGAAGGGGAGUGAAAUAGAACCUGAAACCGUGUGCUUACAAGUAGUCAGAGCCCGUUAAUGGGUGAUGGCGUGCCUUUUGUAGAAUGAACCGGCGAGUUACGAUUUGAUGCAAGGUUAAGCAGUAAAUGUGGAGCCGUAGCGAAAGCGAGUCUGAAUAGGGCGUUUAGUAUUUGGUCGUAGACCCGAAACCAGGUGAUCUACCCUUGGUCAGGUUGAAGUUCAGGUAACACUGAAUGGAGGACCGAACCGACUUACGUUGAAAAGUGAGCGGAUGAACUGAGGGUAGCGGAGAAAUUCCAAUCGAACCUGGAGAUAGCUGGUUCUCUCCGAAAUAGCUUUAGGGCUAGCCUCAAGUGAUGAUUAUUGGAGGUAGAGCACUGUUUGGACGAGGGGCCCCUCUCGGGUUACCGAAUUCAGACAAACUCCGAAUGCCAAUUAAUUUAACUUGGGAGUCAGAACAUGGGUGAUAAGGUCCGUGUUCGAAAGGGAAACAGCCCAGACCACCAGCUAAGGUCCCAAAAUAUAUGUUAAGUGGAAAAGGAUGUGGCGUUGCCCAGACAACUAGGAUGUUGGCUUAGAAGCAGCCAUCAUUUAAAGAGUGCGUAAUAGCUCACUAGUCGAGUGACACUGCGCCGAAAAUGUACCGGGGCUAAACAUAUUACCGAAGCUGUGGAUUGUCCUUUGGACAAUGGUAGGAGAGCGUUCUAAGGGCGUUGAAGCAUGAUCGUAAGGACAUGUGGAGCGCUUAGAAGUGAGAAUGCCGGUGUGAGUAGCGAAAGACGGGUGAGAAUCCCGUCCACCGAUUGACUAAGGUUUCCAGAGGAAGGCUCGUCCGCUCUGGGUUAGUCGGGUCCUAAGCUGAGGCCGACAGGCGUAGGCGAUGGAUAACAGGUUGAUAUUCCUGUACCACCUAUAAUCGUUUUAAUCGAUGGGGGGACGCAGUAGGAUAGGCGAAGCGUGCGAUUGGAUUGCACGUCUAAGCAGUAAGGCUGAGUAUUAGGCAAAUCCGGUACUCNNNNNNNNNNNNNNNNNNNNNNNNNNNNNNNNNNNNNNNNUAAGGCUGAGCUGUGAUGGGGAGAAGACAUUGUGUCUUCGAGUCGUUGAUUUCACACUGCCGAGAAAAGCCUCUAGAUAGAAAAUAGGUGCCCGUACCGCAAACCGACACAGGUAGUCAAGAUGAGAAUUCUAAGGUGAGCGAGCGAACUCUCGUUAAGGAACUCGGCAAAAUGACCCCGUAACUUCGGGAGAAGGGGUGCUCUUUAGGGUUAACGCCCAGAAGAGCCGCAGUGAAUAGGCCCAAGCGACUGUUUAUCAAAAACACAGGUCUCUGCUAAACCGUAAGGUGAUGUAUAGGGGCUGACGCCUGCCCGGUGCUGGAAGGUUAAGAGGAGUGGUUAGCUUCUGCGAAGCUACGAAUCGAAGCCCCAGUAAACGGCGGCCGUAACUAUAACGGUCCUAAGGUAGCGAAAUUCCUUGUCGGGUAAGUUCCGACCCGCACGAAAGGCGUAACGAUUUGGGCACUGUCUCAACGAGAGACUCGGUGAAAUCAUAGUACCUGUGAAGAUGCAGGUUACCCGCGACAGGACGGAAAGACCCCGUGGAGCUUUACUGUAGCCUGAUAUUGAAAUUCGGCACAGCUUGUACAGGAUAGGUAGGAGCCUUUGAAACGUGAGCGCUAGCUUACGUGGAGGCGCUGGUGGGAUACUACCCUAGCUGUGUUGGCUUUCUAACCCGCACCACUUAUCGUGGUGGGAGACAGUGUCAGGCGGGCAGUUUGACUGGGGCGGUCGCCUCCUAAAAGGUAACGGAGGCGCUCAAAGGUUCCCUCAGAAUGGUUGGAAAUCAUUCAUAGAGUGUAAAGGCAUAAGGGAGCUUGACUGCGAGACCUACAAGUCGAGCAGGGUCGAAAGACGGACUUAGUGAUCCGGUGGUUCCGCAUGGAAGGGCCAUCGCUCAACGGAUAAAAGCUACCCCGGGGAUAACAGGCUUAUCUCCCCCAAGAGUUCACAUCGACGGGGAGGUUUGGCACCUCGAUGUCGGCUCAUCGCAUCCUGGGGCUGUAGUCGGUCCCAAGGGUUGGGCUGUUCGCCCAUUAAAGCGGUACGCGAGCUGGGUUCAGAACGUCGUGAGACAGUUCGGUCCCUAUCCGUCGUGGGCGUAGGAAAUUUGAGAGGAGCUGUCCUUAGUACGAGAGGACCGGGAUGGACAUACCUCUGGUGUACCAGUUGUCGUGCCAACGGCAUAGCUGGGUAGCUAUGUGUGGACGGGAUAAGUGCUGAAAGCAUCUAAGCAUGAAGCCCCCCUCAAGAUGAGAUUUCCCAACUUCGGUUAUAAGAUCCCUCAAAGAUGAUGAGGUUAAUAGGUUCGAGGUGGAAGCAUGGUGACAUGUGGAGCUGACGAAUACUAAUCGAUCGAAGACUUAAUCAA
rnacentral:rRNA from 1 species